rnacentral:rRNA from 1 species
GAUGAACGCUGGCGGCGUGCCUAAUACAUGCAAGUCGAGCGAACAGACUAGGAGCUUGCUCCUCUGACGUUAGCGGCGGACGGGUGAGUAACACGUGGAUAACCUACCUAUAAGACUGGGAUAACUUCGGGAAACCGGAGCUAAUACCGGAUAAUAUAUUGAACCACAUGGUUCAAGAGUGAAAGACGGUAUUGCUGUCCCUUAUAGAUGGAUCCGCGCCGAAUUAGCUAGUUGGUAAGGUAACGGCUUACCAGGGCAACCAUUGUUAACCGACCUGAGGGUGUGAUCGGCCACAGUGGAAGUGAGACACGGUCCAGACUCCUACGGGGGGCAGCAGUAGGAAAUCUGCCGCAAGGGGCAAAAGCCUGCCGGAGCAACGCCGCGGGAGUGAUGAAGUUCUUCGGAUCGUAAAACUCUGUUAUUAGGAAAGAACAAAUGUGUAAGUAACGAUGAACGUCUGAACGGUACCAAAUCGGAAGGCCACGGCAACUACGUG